rnacentral:rRNA from 1 species
UACGAAGGGGGCUAGCGUUGCUCGGAAUCACUGGGCGUAAAGCGCACGUAGGCGGACUCUUAAGUCAGGGGUGAAAUCCUGGAGCUCAACUCCAGAACUGCCUUUGAUACUGGGAGUCUUGAGUUCGGGAGAGGUGAGUGGAACUGCGAGUGUAGAGGUGAAAUUCGUAGAUAUUCGCAAGGACACCAGUGGCGAAGGCGGCUCACUGGCCCGAUACUGACGCUGAGGUGCGAAAGCGUGGGGAGCAAACAGG